ACCUUCUAUACCGAUGAUGAGUAAAGAUAGUCUUAAAUCCUUCAAACACGAGUUCACAAAUGAAAUCUCUGAGGUACUCGUAACCGCUCUUGACUACUGUUUUAGUACCUUAUGACCUGUAGUAUAUUACAGUGAGGAAAGCUGUGACUGGCUCUGACCGAAGAAUAAUGUGUUUCAGACUGAAGUGCAGUAUUUUCCUUUCUAGUAUUCUUCGACAUUUCCACAUUUCAAUCGACUGUGGCAAUCGAUAGUCGUAAAAAUGAUGUAUCGUAUAUAGAUGUGCGAAGGUGUUGCCAUGUAUGAUUGUUCAUUCAGGAAGCUAGUAUAUAAACUAAUUUCAGUUAAAGCAUUGUAACAUCAUAGAAGCCAUUUGAUCCAGAAUCAUUACAAGGGGUUUAUUCUUAUAGAGCACCGUGAUUGUUAGUGCAGUUCCAUUAACUUCUUGGUUAUCAGAGGGGAUACUUUACACGUUUGAAUCCCGCCCAUGCCAGUGGUUGGGUCAGUUGAGAGUUACAUCACGUGAGAAGAGAGAAGAUGGUAUCUGAGGCUGCAGACAGUUCAGGAAUCCAGAGGAAGAUCGUACUUUCAAGCGUCGGCAGAUACAGCAAUUAGUUGAGGAACAAAUGCAGCAAGAGAAGACAAACUAGCACCAUGCCUGC